rnacentral:sRNA from 1 species
AACCUAUGCGCAUGAGUGGCUCCGUAGAUCAUCUUGCCGACCUUUAUAUUCGAGACAUAGUUUGACUUCAUGGGGUUCUAGUGACUAUUGUCUCGGAUAGAGAUCCACGUUUUACGGCUUGGUUGUGGCAGAGCCUACAGAGUGCCUUGGACACUAAGUUGACUUUUAGCAUCACCUAUCAUCUCUAGACUGACAGACAGUCAGAGCGUACUAUUCAGAUCCUGGAGAAUAUGCUUUGGGGUUGUGUUCUUGAUUUCAAGGGGUCUUGGGAGAAACAU